ACUGGUUGAUCCUGCCAGUAGUCAUAUGCUUGUCUUAAAGAUUAAGCCAUGCAUGUUUAAGUUCAUACCUUUGAAUGGUGAAACCGCGAAUGGCUCAUUAAAUCAGUUAUAAUUUCAUGGGAUGUGUUUUGUUAAUUGGAUAACUGUGGUAAUUCUAGAGCUAAUACAUGCUUAUACGUUCAACUUCGGUUGGAUGUGCUUUUAUUAGUGCAAACCAUGUCCUUCGGGACUGCAGGUGGCGACUCUGAAUAACUUUGCCGAGCAUUUCAGCCUUGUGCUGGUGCUAUUCCUUCAAAGUAUCUGCUCUAUCAACUGUCGAUGGUAUAUUAUAUGUUUACCAUGGUUGUAACGGGUAACGGGGAAUUAGGGUUCGAUUCCGGAGAGGGAGCCUGAGAAACGGCUACCACAUCUAAGGAAGGCAGCAGGCGCGCAAAUUACCCAAUCCCGGCACGGGGAGGUAGUGACAAAAAAUAACAAUGCGGGACUCAAAUGAGGCUUCGUAAUUGGAAUGAGUACAUUCUAAAUCCUUUAACGAGGAACUAUUGGAGGGCAAGUCUGGUGCCAGCAGCCGCGGUAAUUCCAGCUCCAAUAGCGUAUAUUAAAAUUGUUGCGUCUAAAAAGCUCGUAGUUUGAAAACUCGCCUCGGCGUUCAAUAGGUUCCCAAUGGGGGCCGCCGUCCGUCGGGUGUGAAUACCGAUGACUGUUUUUGCCGACUUAAUUGUCCGGCUUAUAAGAGUUAUCAAACAUCACUUUGAUUAAAUUAGAGUGCUUAAAGCAAGUGUGUUACUUGGAUAUAAAUGCAUGGAAUGAUGGAAUAUGUUGUUGUUCUAUUUGUUGGUUUUUGAACGAUAAAAUGAUUGAAAGGAACUGUUGGGGGCAUUCGUAUUGUUGUGAGAGAGGUGAAAUUCUUAGACCACAGCAAGACGAACUACUGCGAAAGCAUUUGCCAAGAAUGUUUUCAUUGAUCAAGAACGAAAGUUAGAGGUUCGAAGGCGAUCAGAUACCGCCCUAGUUCUAACCAUAAACUAUGCCAACUAGCAAUUUGCUUAUGUUCUUUAUAUGACUAAGUGAGAGGCCACGGGAAACCAAAGUAGGGUUAUGGGGGAAGUAUGGUUGCAAAGCUGAAACUUAAAGGAAUUGACGGAAGGGCACCACCAGGAGUGGAGCCUGCGGCUUAAUUUGACUCAACACGGGAAAACUUACCUGGUCCUGACACUAGAAGGAUUGACAGAUUGAUAGCUCUUUCUUGAUUUGGUGGAUGGUGGUGCAUGGCCGUUCUUAGUUGGUGGAGUGAUUUGUCUGGUUAAUUCCGAUAACGAACGAGACUC
rnacentral:rRNA from 1 species